rnacentral:rRNA from 1 species
GACGAACGCUGGCGGCGUGCUUAACACAUGCAAGUCGAACGGAAAGGCCCUGCUUUUGUGGGGUGCUCGAGUGGCGAACGGGUGAGUAACACGUGAGUAACCUGCCCUUGACUUUGGGAUAACUUCAGGCAACUUGUGCUAAUACCGGAUAGGAGCUCCUGCUGCAUGGUGGGGGUUGGAAAGUUUCGGCGGUUGGGGAUGGACUCGCGGCUUAUCAGCUUGUUGGUGGGGUAGUGGCUUACCAAGGCUUUGACGGGUAGCCGGCCUGAGAGGGUGACCGGCCACAUUGGGAAUGAGAUACGGCACAGACUCCUACGGGAGGCAGCAGUGGGGAAUAUUGCACAAUGGGAGGAAGCCUGAUGCAGCAACGCCGCGUGCGGGAUGACGGCCUUCGGGUUGUAAACCGCUUUCGCCUGUGACGAAGCGUGAGUGACGGUAAUGGGUAAAGAAGCACCGGCUAACUACGUG